rnacentral:rRNA from 1 species
AACGAACGCUGGCGGCAGGCCUAACACAUGCAAGUCGAACGCUCCAGCAAUGGAGAGUGGCAGACGGGUGAGUAACACGUGGGAACCUUCCCUAUGGUUCGGAAUAGCUCAGGGAAACUUGGGGUAAUACCGGAUAAGCCCUUCGGGGAAGGAUUUAUCGCCAUUGGAUGGGCCCGCGUCGGAUUAGCUAGUUGGUGAGGUAACGGCUCACCAAGGCAACGAUCCGUAGCUGGUCUGAGAGGAUGAUCAGCCACACUGGGACUGAGACACCGGCCCAGACUCCUACGGGAGGCAGCAGUGGGGAAUAUUGGACAAUGGGCGCAAGCCUGAUCCAGCCAUGCCGCGUGAGUGACGAAGGUCUUCGG